GCAACAGCCCCAGUGAAUGAUGCCCUCUAUCCACAGUAUAGUCAGCAGGGGCAGUGACCAUGCACAUUUCUCUACACUGUCCCAUCAAUGUGCUUCAACCCUGACCUGGAGGCACUAAUCUGGGGUGAAGGGGAAGUUAAGUCUUCACACUUACUCAAUCCUUGGUGAGU
rnacentral:sRNA from 1 species